GCUUAAGUGGUCUAGUGGUUAUAGCGUCCGCCUCGGAUGUGGCAGGUUGUGGGUUCGAUCCCCGUCCGAGUCA